GGCUGUUAAGUACCUUCCAUGACGAGGAUCAGCCGCGCACAUCAUGUUUUUGGAAUCCCACAUUUGUUGAGUUAGCUCGGGGAUCGUUAAAGCUCGGUAUUGUUGUGAACCCCGGGAUGUUAAAGGUGCAAAACCAACCAUGAAAAAAUGGAGGCGUGGGAAUGGGAUCAAGUUUACUGCUAGUUUUCGAAGAUCGGAAUUGAGUUGGCCAGGGAAGCGAAGGCAGCAUGUGACUCCACUCAUGGUUGUUGAAAUCAAAUGGUUCAAGUCACCAACUGUUCAUAUAUAUACAUAAACGCACGAAAAUAAGUCAUAUAUAGAUAUGAUUGGUAGCAAUUAUGUUUGACUCGGAUCGGAAAUCAAUUGAGAUUUCAGUUUAAAGAAUGGUAUUGGAUUGGUUGAAUUGGCGAUUGAACUAGUUGAAUCGAUUUUUAAAUUUAUUUGAAUUUAUAUAAAAUUUAAAUUAAACCGAGCAAUUAUGUUUGACUCGGAUCGGAAAUCAAUUGAGAUUUCAGUUUAAAGAAUGGUAUUGGAUUGGUUGAAUUGGCGAUUGAACUAGUUGAAUCGAUUUUUAAAUUUAUUUGAAUUUAUAUAAAAUUUAAAUUAAAUCGAUUAAACAGAUAAAUUGAUAAAUUAACCGAUUCGAUUGCAGAUCUAAUUUUAAAAGCAUUAAUAAUUAAUUUUGCAAUUUCAUGAUUGAAGUGAUUGCAUGUGCACAAGAUAAAAAGUAAUUCCAAUAAUACACUAACCUAAAUCUUAAACCCAAAGGAGUAACAUUUUAGAAUUAAUACUACCUCUCUUUGCCAACAAUAUCUUAACUUAUUGACAAGAACAUUAUAUUAUAGAUAGGGGAGUUUAGAUUUGAUGUCUAAGUAAUUUCAUUUUUCUUUCUCGAUUAUAAGAAAGAAAAAAGUUUAAUACCUCCUUUGACCCCUGUAUUACCAUUUUGGUACUUUUUUCUGUUAAAAAAAAUAUUAAGUCAACCCAUGAAAUAAUGUCAUGUGAUAAAGAAAAAAAAUUAAAAAGAAAUACUUAAAAAUUUUAGAAAACGUCAGAAAAAUUUUCAAAAUCUAAAAAAGCCCAAAAAUCUUAAGACUUAGAAAAUUAUAAAAAUAAAAUAAAUCAUAAUUUAUUUUAGAAAAUUAUAAAAAUAUUUUUAAAAUUUAUAAGUAUGAAAAAAUUCAAUAAAUAAAUAAAUUUGAAAAUUUUGUUUGGUUAGAAUUUUUGGUUAUAUAUAUAUAUAUUUUUUUUGAAAAUUUAAGGAUUUUUUAUGAAUUUUUUGAUAUUUUUAAGGAAUUCUGCGUUUUUUUUACAUGUGAUAGUAUUUGACUUGAUGGGGAGAUUUUUUAACCAAAAAUAUAGAUGGGGACCAAACUGAUAAAAAAAAUAUAAAUAUCAGAGUAAUAAUUUAACUAUAGUACAAAAGCCAAAAGAGGUAUUAAUCCAUAAUUUUAUGAUAACUAAGGAUUGUCCUUUUUCUCGUUUGUUUGCUAGCAUAUUAUAUCUUGUAUGAAAAUGAAGAUGCGGAUUAAAACUAAGACAAGUUGUAGAACAUUUUGGACUUACAGCUGGGAUUUGUGAGCUUAAGAGUUCUGAAGCAGAUAUCAUAAAGAGCUUCAUUGUCAAGGACCAUGCAUUCAUCAGCAUUUUCCACAAGCUGGUGCACUGACAGGGUCGCAUUAUAGGGUUCAACCACAGUAUCCGAUACUUUAGGUGAUGGAAACACCGAGAACGUUAGCAUCAUCCGGUCAGGGUAUUCUUCCCUGAUCUUUGAUAUCAACAAUGUCCCCAUCCCUGACCCUGUUCCACCUCCCAGUGAAUGGCAAACCUGAAAACCUGCUCAUUAUAAAGUUCCAUUAGCCAACACACCCAAAACCAAAAACAAGAAAGCAUUCAAACGUGUAAUUUACCUUGUAAACAAUCACAAUUCUCAGCCUCUUUACGAACAACAUCAAGAACUGAAUCAAUCAAUUCAGCUCCUUCAGUAUAAUGUCCCUUAGCCCAGUUAUUGCCAGCUCCAUUUUGGCCGAACACAAAGUUAUCUGGUCUAAACAAUUUUCCAUAAGGACCUGUUCGUAAACUGUCCAUAGUUCCUGGCUCAAGAUCCAUUAACACAGCUCUAGGCACAUAUCUGCCACCACUGGCUUCAUUAUAGUAAACAUUAAGCCUUUCAAGCUGAACAGGCGAAGUGCCGACAUAGUUACCAGUGGCAUCAAUGCCAUGUUCAUCACAUACUACCUCCCAAAACUUGCCACCAAUUUGAUUACCACACUGACCGGCUUGAACAUGGAGGAUUUCUCUCAUUGUUAUGGUAUUGGGAUUUUCUUUUUCUUUUUUUCUUUUAUAAAACAAAGAAAGAAAAAGAUAAUAAGAGAGAGAGAGCAGUGUGAGC
rnacentral:lncRNA from 1 species